rnacentral:sRNA from 1 species
UUCCAGGACAUGCCCAAUGCCACCAGCAACUCCUCCCAAAACCUCCCCUGCAUCUCUGCCUCUGGACUUCCAGCACCUCCUCCUCCAUGAGGUAGGCAAUGAUUGCCUGCUGGACUCCCUCAAAUGCGGUAGAAGUGUUGGUCUCACUACAUUCACACAUUAGCAUGUGAAUCCCCAUGUUUUGCAAACAAGCCACUGCACCAAUCACCUAGCACUUGAGAUAGGUGAUGAAGACUCCCAGCUCCUUGACUACCUUAUCUGUCAGCUUGUACACUCCCAACCACUAACCCAGCAUUCACAACAUCUGAAGCCUUGUUGCUGCUGGUGUUAUGUGAACAGUGAAUCCCCCUCACAGUGCAUCAACCACAGGUUGACAACUCCCAUCGCAUUGGGCACACAGUGAAACCAUGGGCGCCCUCUGGUGCUCCUCAAACCCUAUGCCUCCUCUGCUCCCUGCGAAGAGCCUGCGCACACCAUUAGCUCCUCAAUUGGGUCACACACAAGCCACAACAGUUUGCCCUCACCUGGUGAUGUCAUUCAUACCCUCAUCAAAUGCCUCCUCUUUCUCCUUAACCGCCUCAGACAUGACAGUUCUCUCUAUGUGAGCACCAAAAAAUUGCUCAGUGCCCUGCAAACAUGGUGCCCACAGAUCCACUGGUUGGUGAAGCGGGAUCGAGAGAACAUUGUCACCCACUGCCUUCAUCAGUAUCACACUCUCAUGCAUUGUUGUGGUCCAUCUCAUAGACAGGAAGGCGAAAUCCU